ACGAACGCUGGCGGCGUGCCUAAUACCUGCAAGUCGAACGAGAGCGACCGGUGCUUGCACUGGUCAAUCUAGUGGCGAACGGGUGAGUAACACGUGGGUAACCUGCCCAUCAGAGGGGGAUAACAUCCGGAAACGGAUGCUAAAACCGCAUAGGUCUUCGAGCCGCAUGGCUUGAAGAGGAAAAGAGGCGCAAGCUUCUGCUGAUGGAUGGACCCGCGGUGCAUUAGCUAGUUGGUGAGGUAACGGCUCACCAAGGCCGUGAUGCAUAGCCGACCUGAGAGGGUGAUCGGCCACAUUGGGACUGAGACACGGCCCAAACUCCUACGGGAGGCAGCAGUAGGGAAUCUUCCGCAAUGGACGCAAGUCUGACGGAGCAACGCCGCGUGAGUGAAGAAGGUUUUCGGAUCGUAAAACUCUGUUGUUAGAGAAGAACAAGUGCUAGAGUAACUGUUAGCGCCUUGACGGUAUCUAACCAGAAAGCCACGGCUAACUACGUG
rnacentral:rRNA from 1 species